rnacentral:rRNA from 1 species
GAUGAACGCUGGCGGCGUGCUUAACACAUGCAAGUCGAACGAAGCACUUUAUUUGAUUUCCUUCGGGACUGAUUAUUUUGUGACUGAGUGGCGGACGGGUGAGUAACGCGUGGGUAACCUGCCUUGUACAGGGGGAUAACAGUUGGAAACGGCUGCUAAUACCGCAUAAGCGCACAGCAUCGCAUGAUGCAGUGUGAAAACCUCCGGUGGUAUAAGAUGGACCCGCGUUGGAUUAGCUAGUUGGUGAGGUAACGGCCCACCAAGGCGACGAUCCAUAGCCGACCUGAGAGGGUGACCGGCCACAUUGGGACUGAGACACGGCCCACACUCCUACGGGAGGCAGCAGUGGGGAAUAUUGCACAAUGGGCGAAAGCCUGAUGCAGCGACGCCGCGUGAGCGAAGAAGUAUUUCGGUAUGUAAAGCUCUAUCAGCAGGGAAGAUAAUGACGGUACCUGACUAAGAAGCACCGGCUAAAUACGUG